rnacentral:rRNA from 1 species
UACGUAGGGGGCAAGCGUUGUCCGGAAUCAUUGGGCGUAAAGCGCGUGUAGGCGGCUCGGUAAGUCCGCUCUGAAAGCCCCGGGCUCAACCCGGGAAGUGCACUCGAUACUGCGAGGCUAGAGUACUGGAGAGGUUGGUGGAAUUCUCGGUGUAGAGGUGAAAUUCGUAGAUAUCGAGAGGAACACCGGUGGCGAAGGCGGCCAACUGGACAGAUACUGACGCUGAGACUCGAAAGCGUGGGGAGCAAACAGG